rnacentral:rRNA from 1 species
AACGUAGGAGCCUAGCGUUAUCCGAAUUUACUGGGCGUAAAGCGCGUGCAGGCGGCUUGGUAAGUGGAUUGUGAAAUCUCCCGGCUCAACUGGGAGGGGACGGUCCAGACUGCGAGGCUGGAGGCAGGGAGAGGGAGGUGGAAUUCCCGGUGUAGUGGUGAAAUGCGUAGAGAUCGGGAGGAACACCAGUGGCGAAAGCGGCCUCCUGGCCCUGACCUGACGCUGAGAUGCGAAAGCUAGGGGAGCGAACGGGAUUAGAAACCCCCGUAGUCC